UCAAGUUGUAUAGCUUUCAAAAGUCUUAUGGAAUGAGCUAGAUGGGAUCUAAAUAAAUAAAAAGCAAAAUUAGUAUGUGCUCUUAUACAUUAAAAUCUUGAUGUUGUACUCCUUCCUUGUACCUUAAUGUGUUGUUCAUUUCAUAAUUAGAAAUAGUUUACAAGGGCAUUUCAUAGAAUCUCACAAUAUAUCGAAAAUUGUACGUUCCUCUUUCAUGCCCUUAUAAAGUUCAUUAUUAAUAAUAUGAACUCUAAACUGAUUUUAUUUUUCAUAAACAUUUCAUUUCAUUUUCUUAUAUUAUUAUUUUGGAAAUAAUGUCCUUGUGUCCAAUUUAUCAUGCUAAUGGAUUACUUUAGUACUUGACAAUGCGUGACUUAUAUGUGACUAUUAUGCAUGACCAAUGCAUAUGCGACUCAGUGAUUGACAACUUGGACACAAGAAUUAAGUUCCAAAAUAACAUAAUUCAUAAGAAAAUUCAAAUUUCAAAAUGCCCCUCUAAAAUAUCAUCAAAUUCUUUUUACCUUUAUGAAACUCAUUUAUUAUAAUAUACUCAAACU
rnacentral:lncRNA from 1 species